UACGUAGGUGGCAAGCGUUGUCCGGAAUUAUUGGGCGUAAAGCGCGCGCAGGCGGUUUCUUAAGUCUGAUGUGAAAGCCCACGGCUCAACCGUGGAGGGUCAUUGGAAACUGGGGAACUUGAGUGCAGAAGAGGAAAGUGGAAUUCCAAGUGUAGCGGUGAAAUGCGUAGAGAUUUGGAGGAACACCAGUGGCGAAGGCGACUUUCUGGUCUGUAACUGACACUGAGG
rnacentral:rRNA from 1 species